rfam:Capsicum annuum cultivar Zunla-1 chromosome 5, whole genome shotgun sequence
AUACUUACCUGGAUGGGGUCAAUGGGCAAUCAGUCGAUCAACAAGGUCCAUGGCGUAGGUUGGUGACCUCCAUUGCACUUUGGAGGGGUGCCUUCCUAAGGUCGAUCCAAGUGGUCGAGCCUAUGUCAUAAUUUAUGGCAGUGGGGCCUGCGUUCGUGUGGCCCCCAC